UACGUAGGGUCCGAGCGUUGUCCGGAGUUACUGGGCGUAAAGCGCGCGCAGGCGGCGGUAUAAGCAUGGCGUGAAAGCCCCAGGCUCAACCUGGGAGGGUCGUCGUGGACUGUACCGCUUGAGGGCGAUAGGGGCUGGUGGAAUGCCUGGUGUAGUGGUGAAAUGCGUAGAGAUCAGGCGGAACACCCGUGGCGAAGGCGGCCAGCUGGGUCGUCCCUGACGCUGAGGCGCGAAGGCGUGGGGAGCGAACGGGAUUAGAUACCCCGGUAGUCCACGCAGUAAACGAUGCAGACUAGGCGUGGGGGGAGUUGACCCCCUCCGUGCCGGAGCUAACGCGGGAAGUCUGCCGCCUGGGGAGUACGGCCGCAAGGCUAAA
rnacentral:rRNA from 1 species